GAUGAACGCUGGCGGCGUGCCUAAUACAUGCAAGUCGAGCGAAUGAUGAGGAGCUUGCUCCUCUGAUUUAGCGGCGGACGGGUGAGUAACACGUGGGUAAUCUGCCUGUAAGACGGGGAUAACUCCGGGAAACCGGGGCUAAUACCGGAUAAUAAGAGAAGAAGCAUUUCUUCUUUUUGAAAGUCGGUUUCGGCUGACACUUACAGAUGAGCCCGCGGCGCAUUAGCUAGUUGGUGAGGUAACGGCUCACCAAGGCGACGAUGCGUAGCCGACCUGAGAGGGUGAUCGGCCACACUGGGACUGAGACACGGCCCGGACUCCUACGGGAGGCAGCAGUAGGGAAUCUUCGGCAAUGGGCGAAAGCCUGACCGAGCAACGCCGCGUGAGCGAUGAAGGCCUUCGGGUCGUAAAGCUCUGUUGUUAGAGAAGAACAAGUACGAGAGUAACUGCUCGUACCUUGACGGUACCUAACCAGAAAGCCACGGCUAACUACGUGCCAGCCGCCGCCGUAA
rnacentral:rRNA from 1 species